GGGUUCGGCCCUCGGCAGACGGCUCAGUAACACGUGGAUAAUCUACCCUAAGGAGGAGGAUAACCUCGGGAAACUGAGAAUAAUACUCCAUAGGUCUAGAAGGCUGGAAUGCAUCUAGGCCCAAAACUCCAGUGCCUUAGGAUGAGUCCGCGGACUAUCAGGUUGUAGUCAGGGUAAUGACCUGACUAGCCUACGACGGAUAUGGGUUGUGAGAGCAAUAACCCAGAGACGAUAUCUGAGACACGAUAUCGGGCCCUACGGGGCGCAGCAGGCGCGAAAACUUCACAAUGUGCGAAAGCACGAUGAGGGGAUCCCAAGUGCUGGCUCGUAAGAGUCAGCUGUUUCUCUGUCUAAAAAACAGAGAGAGUAAGGGCUGGGUAAGACGGGUGCCAGCCGCCGCGGUAAUACCUGCAGCUCAAGUGGUGACCACUAUUAUUGGACCUAAAACGUCCGUAGCCGGUUUGGUAAAUGCUUGGGUAAAUCGUGUAGCUUAACUAUACGGCUUCCGGGUAGACUGUCGAACUUGAGACCGGGAGAAGCUAGAGGUACUUCUGGGGUAGAGGUGAAAUUCUGUAAUCCUAGAGGGACCACYAGUUG
rnacentral:rRNA from 1 species